UACGUAGGGGGCAAGCGUUGUCCGGAAUCAUUGGGCGUAAAGCGCGUGUAGGCGGUCCGAUCAGUCGGCUGUGAAAGUCCAGGGCUCAACCCUGGGAUGCCGGUCGAUACUGUCGGACUAGAGUCCGGAAGAGGCGAGUGGAAUUCCCGGUGUAGCGGUGAAAUGCGCAGAUAUCGGGAGGAACACCAAUGGCGAAGGCAGCUCGCUGGGACGGUACUGACGCUGAGACGCGAAAGCGUGGGGAGCGAACAGG
rnacentral:rRNA from 1 species